ACUGUCAAGGAGCAGCCUGCAGAGAGUCAUCUGACCUUGGGUAUCAUUGAAGAUGUAAAUACAUGUAAAGGUCUUUAGAAAGAAAGAGACAGAAUUAUUUCUCAAACUGUGUUCGUGGCUGAUACCAGUAAAUCAGAAUUAGUGAGUUUUUUUGUGGGGCAGGUGGGGUGGGGGGGUUGCUUGUUGUUUUGUUGCUAUUGUUUUUAGCGGCAAGGGAUAGAAGCUGGACUCAAAGGAUGUAAUAGAAGGUGUCAUCUGUCAACAACACCACCACCACAUGACAACAUGCAGCAAAGCUAGCAGCCACUUCCAAUUCCUGGUGUGAGCUUACAGGGAAAGACGGAAAGACCAAAGAGAAUCGGUUUUCCUUUAUGCUGCUCUUCGUUUCCAGGCAGACAGACAAGUCUGGAGAGGAGCUUUACCCCCCGGGGAGAAAUUGUAUACACUGCUUUGACCUGAUUAAAGAAGGCCAUCCAAACAAAGAAGAGAACAGUAUAAAGUGCCAGCCUGUUAUUGAGGAGCGGUUACUCUGACUACUCGACCCAAGAACUGAUAUGACACUAUGACCAAGAGGUGAAGAAGAAACUUUAAAGAUCUGAGACCCACCACAUGUACUAAAUUGUAGAGAGGUAUUACCAGUGGACCUUGCCCUUCUGAAGCAAAGAACAUUCUUGACUCAAUUGAUGAAGGUGCCUUUCAAUUAGACGCUGUAAGGCUCCAGAGCUGAGCGGUCUUGAAGACAGAAUUCAGAGAAGUGAGACUGUGAUUUCUGGACUCAUUAUCCUGACCAACUUCAGAAUACCCAGAAUCUAGCCAUCUAUCUUUUAAUGAUAUUCAGAUCAAUGUACCUCAGCGAAUCUGGGUUUUCUACCAUGAACAUUAAAAAACCCAACACUGCAAUCAUCUGAUAGAUGAGUAUCUCCACCAAUGCAUGCACCUUGUCUUGACUUCCUACAAACCACUCUUCACAAAGCUUGCCAGACAUCAUUGGUCACCUCUCCCAUUAGAGAUUGCCACAAAGACAGGCAUAAAAAGAUCACUGAACUUUUAUCUAUGGGCAGUACUGCAAAAUUGACUAUGAAGAUUUCUGCCAUCCUCAUAAGCAUCAGAGAUAAGCAAUAAUGGAGAUGGUACUUUAUCAGUCAUUUAACUUCCGUAGACAUGCUGAGCUGAAGAAGGAAGAGAAAGAUCAUUAUAUAUAAUUCUCCAGAAAUACAAAGCAACCUAUUCAGUGACAUAGUUUCAAUAAGACAGCUCAAAAUACACAGCUAAUUUAGGUCUGAACUGUUUAGACUGUGUAAUCUUCUUUUGUACACCCAAACCCUAUUAUAACUGGAUAUACAAACAAUAUUGAAAGACUCAAAUUUUCACGAAGUAAAUGCACAAAAGCUACUCUGCAUUAUACACAUGGCUUGGUUCAGAUUCUCCCCUCUCUCUUGUUAGUUCCUUUAAAGACAAUGAACGUUGGAAGAAUAAAGAGAAAUGGAAACAAAGUAAUAGAAUGGGCUAUUUUUUACUAUAGUAAAUGCUACAUGUAUUUUAAUGUAGUGUAUUCCCAAUCUUCACAUAAUAAUUACUUUCAAAGUCUGAAAUAACCUCAAACUACUCUAUUGUUCCUUAGCAUUUUUCUUAGGGUUUGUCUACACUGCACCACAGAUCAGUCUAUGAUGGUGCCAAUUACAGAGUGCUCUAACAUGGAGCACUCUAACUGCCCUGUGUAGACCCUGUUGGUGUGAACUAAAAAAGACCUAGUUGAUUUAGUCCUUUUUCAAACAGGAUUGCAUUGACAUGCGCUAGGUAGCAGUCAUUUCACAAAGUAUAGAAAUAUCAUUUAAUUUAGGUGACCAGUCACACUUAAAAAUAACAAAAUGAAUAUUCAUAGUGCCCAAUUCAAGGAUAAUGUGCAGGCUGAGAUUUUAAUGUACAAUUAUAACUAGUGAAUAAAUCUGGGGCUACCGAGAUCAGUUUGCUGAUUGAUUCUAAAGAUAGUACAGAACUAAAUUUGUCAGAUAAAUUGUUCAUUGCAAACAGUUCACCUAGCAGUAUCAGUAACUGCCAUCUGUGCUGGGUGCUUGCUCUCUCAAAACAUGUUAUUUCAGUUGCAGUGUAAGUUUCAGAAACACAUAAUGAAGCUUGACUUCUCUCUGGUAUAUCCAUAAGAGGUUAUACUUGAAUGGCAUACUAUAAAACCUAUACAUACAGUAUGUCAUAGAUUAUAUUAUAUGAAGGACUAGGAUUCAUACCCUUCAACUAUCCCAAAUUUCCCUGCAGUCCACAUGGAUAUUUGCUGUACUCACUUGUAUGAGACAAGUGUUAACAAUGAAACUGAGGCUACCAAAAGGUUAGUGAUGCUAAAGACAUCAUUUUAAAUUUCCAGCACUAAUAUUGUUCCUUGUUUCAUCAUUUAAACUAUACAACUUCCAGCUUUAAUAUUGUCAGAUUUUACAAGCUAAACAGGGUUGGGCCUUGAUGGCCUCUGGAUGGGAGACCCCCCAGAACAUCUGCUUGCUUUGGGAAGCAGCAAUGACAGCUCAGUGGGCCGCAUUCUUCCCACUCAGUAUUGAAACAAUGCUGGCGAUAGGGGAUACAUUGAAAAAUGGGACCUAAAACCAAAGUUUUUACCAUAUGUGCUCAUUUAAUAUCUCAUGGAAUUUUUUCUAAGCUUCAGAGUUUUAACCUUGCCAAAUCCUAGCCAAAUGUAACUUGGGUAAUGACAUCUUGCCUACCUACAAACAGUCCCUGUGGUUUCUAAUGGAUGUGACACUAUUCUUUUCUGAACUGCUGUGUCAUGCUUCUUUGUACUGUUAAAUACCUGCUGUGGUUUACCAUACAGGAGGUCAUCAUUUCAAUGAGGCAUGAGGUGAUUCAUGUACGUAAGUAGGGCUUGAUCCUGCACCUCCAGAAUUCAAUGAGUUCAGGACCAGGAGUACAGUUUGU